AUGGAAAUACACUCUACCUCUCUGCUUCUUCUAAAUCUGAUUCAUCUGUUUUUGCGGAUCUCGGCUCGUGAAUUCCUCUCGCCAGGCUCCUCUCUCUCCGUAGAGGAUAGCUCUGACGUGCUCCAUUCACCAGAUGGUACUUUCACCUGCGGCUUCAACAAUAUUUCUGGGAGUGCCUUCGUUUUCUCUAUUUGGUUCUCCAACACAGCUCAUGAAAAGACUGUCGUCUGGAGUGCAAAUCAUCUCCACCCCGUGUACUCCUGGGGAUCCAUAGUCAUGCUAUAUGCGGAUGGCGGAAUGGUUGUAAAAGAUUACAAUGGCCAGGCCGUGUGGGAAACCAAUGUCAGCUCUUCAUCAAAAGCCGAACAAGUCCAGUUGUUGGACACCGGGAACCUCAUCAUGAAGGGCCAAGGUGAUAUCAUUUUGUGGCAAAGUUUUGAUUCUCCUACUGAUACAUUGCUGCCAAAUCAGAACAUUACUUCUGCUACAAAAUUGGUAUCUGCUAAUAGGUUACUUGUUCCUGGGCGCUACAGCUUCCAUUUUGAUGAUCAACAUUUACUCACACUGUUUUAUGAUCAGACGGAUAUCUCUUUUAUCUAUUGGCCAGAUCCUAAUAAGAAUAUCUGGGAAAAGCAAAGAAGCUCGUUUAAUACCACCACAAUUGGGGUCCUAGAUAGCUCAGGUUAUUUCCUUGGAAGUGACAAUUUAACAUUUAAGGCGACUGACUGGGGUCUCAAGGUUAUGAGGAGGCUAACAUUGAAUUAUGAUGGCAACCUUAGAUUAUACAGUCUAAAUAAGUCAGAUGGAAGAUGGUCGGUCACAUGGAUGGCAUAUCCUCGGACCUGCUCUAUACGUGGUCUCUGUGGUAUGAAUGGAAUAUGUGUGUAUACACCUAGGCCAGCUUGUGCAUGUGCCCCUGGACAUGAGAUCAUUGACCAAAGGGACCGGAGCAAAGGUUGCAGGCCAAAAUUCAAUCUCAGUUGUGAUGGGCAGGAGAUGUUUGUGAAGCUACACAACACUGACUUCCGAGGUAAUGAUCAAAGUAGCAGUACCUCAGUUUCAUUUCAUACAUGCAAGAAGAUAUGCUUGAACAACUGCAAUUGCAAAGGUUUCUCAUACUGGCAAGGAAGUGGAAGUUGCUUUCCGAAGUCGUCCCUUGUUGGUGGUGUAACCAGCCUGGGUUUGGGUCGUUCUAUCUAUCUCAAGCUUCCUAAGACACAGGUCUCAGAGUCCUCAAUUCCUCACUCACAACCUUUUGGUCAUAGAUAUGCUCCUAACUGUAGUGCAAAGAACAAAAUUUUCACUACAGAUUUUCUGGAUCAACCUAAGAGCAGUCAGAGUGGAUCACACCCACAGUACUUGUACUUGUAUGUAUUCUUGGCAGCGAUAUUUUGUGUAGAGGUAAUAUUUGUGGCAUUCGGAUGCUGGUUUGUGUUGAGAAGGGAGGGCAAGCAGUUAACAGGAGUAUGGCCAGCUGAGGUUGGCUAUGAAAUGAUAACUAACCAUUUCCGCAGAUACACUUACAAGGAGUUGCAGAGGGCAACUCGAAAGUUCAAGGACCAGAUUGGAUGCGGGGCAUCUGGUAUUGUAUACAAGGGGGUCUUGAAAGACAAGAGGGUAGUAGCGGUGAAAAGGUUGGCAGACAUAAACCAAGGCGAAGAAGAAUUCCAGCAUGAAUUGAGUGUGAUUGGAAAGAUUUACCAUAUGAAUCUGGUGAGGGUUUGGGGGUUCUGUUCUGAUGGUCCACACAGGAUAUUGGUCUUAGAGUACGUUGAGAAUGCUUCGUUGGAUAAAACCCUGUUUAGUAGCAAGGCCCCACAGAUCUUACUCGAAUGGAACCAAAGAUUUAAGGUUGCCCUAGGGGUGGCAAAAGGAUUGGCCUAUCUUCAUCAUGAGUGCUUGGAAUGGGUUAUCCAUUGUGACCUGAAGCCUGAGAAUAUACUGUUGGAUGAAAACUUGGAGCCAAAGAUCACCGACUUUGGCCUUGCAAAACUUUUGAACAGAGGUGGAUCCAAUAAAAAUGUAUCGAGGGUCCGUGGAACUAGAGGUUACAUAGCUCCUGAGUGGGUUUCUGGCCAUCCAAUAACAGCAAAGGUAGAUGUCUACAGCUUCGGAGUGGUUCUCCUAGAACUACUCAAGGGGGCUCGUGUUUCAGACUGGGCAUCAAAUGCCAACGAGGAAGUGGAGACAGUCCUUGGAAGGGUCGUUAGGAUGCUUACAGAAAAUCUGAUGCUGGAGCUGGAGGGCAGCCAACAGUUAUGGGUGGCUGACUUCAUUGACUUGAGGUUGAACAGCCAGUUCGAUAACUUGCAAGCGAGAAUGAUGGUCAAGCUGGCUGUUUCAUGCGUGGAAGAAGAUGGUAGAAAAAGGCCCACCAUGGAAAAUGUUGUGCAGAUGCUUCUAUCGGUUGCUUGA
rnacentral:rRNA from 1 species